rnacentral:lncRNA from 1 species
UUUGACGAGCACAUAAAUAUGGGCCCUAUCCAUUUGGGUCCUUGUGGUGCAGAUUAGCUGCAGUAGGUUCAUUGCAGGAGUAGGGGUGCAUCUAGAUGGAAUCUAUCGACCUUGAUAGAUUAGGAGAGAUCCUAUGUGAUUUAUGAGACUGAGUUCGUAAAUCCUUGGCCAAGGUAGUUUUUGGAAAAAGAGUUUUCCAAUCUCGAACUGGAGUCGAAUAAAUUUUACAUAUGACAGAUGAUGGGGUUUGACGAGUUAUCCAUGACCUUCAUCCUGUUGGGAUCCACGAUAGAGCGAUUGUAUCAUAUGCUAACUGCACCUAGAGGUUCAUCUAUUCUACUCUGCUGGGUUGCCACUACAUGCUGCUAGGUGUCACUGGUGGAUUGUGAGACUCAGAGGCAUUCACUUGAUGAUCAGUGAACCCGAAUGAGAAGAGUUGGAAUUGUUCUAACCCAUUGAAAGGAGUUUCAAUGAUAUUGUGAUAGGGAUCACAACAUAUCUCACUACCAGACAGAAUAGAACCUAUGGGGUCACACAC